GUUGGUAUUCGAUUUCAGCUGGCUACAUGUAACCACACGUGUUAGCAAGCAUAUUUUAUCCGACGGGGAACACGAGAUUUGAAGAUACUUUACAGAGAAUUCCAACGUUGUUUCCAAAGUGGUUUUUGCUGCUUUUUCGCUGGACACAGUCAAUUGCUUUUCAACUUCAGGAACUACUGCAAGUUCUGGGGUAAUGGUAAUGGAUGACUGCUCCACGGGAAUAUCAGAUGCUGGAAUAGUGUCAGGCAAAGUUUGAGGAUUUAAUAUUUGAUUUUCUAGAGCAGGCAAUAAGUUUUCAAUCCAUGGAUCAACCACAAUCUCCAGUCCUACAGCAUCAUCUGCCCAUCCUGAUUUGUAAAAUUGCUUCGCUCCAAGUUUUUGAAGUUGCUUUUCAACACUCUUGGGAUAGCCCAAAAACGUUGUGUAGUUUGUGUCACCCAAACCGAGCAGAGCAUACACCAAAUGACACAAGUAAUCAUUUUCCAAGUUCUUUGAUCUAAUCUUCUUCCAAAAAAUGCCUGCAUUUUCAGGAGGAUCUCCAUCACCAGUCCUGGCAAAUUUUAAUUUUUUCCUUAUUGCACUUUGCUGAGAUGCACCAAAAUGGGAAUCUGAAAUAGUUGAUGAGCAAAUACUACUUUGUAACAAAUCACAACAAAACAUGCAAACAAUGUGAUAAUAAAACCUUUUCAACUGAGUCAUCCAUGG